UAUUUUAGUCAAAUUAUAAUUAAUGAUAAGUACACGUAUCAUCAAAGUAGAGUGUCAAAUAUCGCAUUGGUAGGCAAAGUUAGAAAAAACUUUCUCUUAUUAUAGAAGAUUUUUAUCUAACCAGACUUCUUGUAAAUCCUU
rnacentral:sRNA from 1 species